GCCCCCAUAGCUCAGUAGGAUAGAGCACAAGAUUCCUAAUCUUGGGGCCGCAGGUUCGAAUCCUGCUGGGGGUACCA
rnacentral:tRNA from 1 species